CCCUAGUANACUGCGAGUGNAAGCGGGAAGAGCUCAAAUUUAAAAUCUNGGCGGCUUUUUCAGUCGUCCGAGUUGUAAUCUGGAGAGGCAUUUUUCCGCGUUGGACCGUGUACAAGUCUCCUGGAACGGAGCGUCAUAGAGGGUGAGAAUCCCGUCCAUGACACGGACCGCCAAUGCUCUGUGAUAUGCCUUCGAAGAGUCGCGUUGUUUGGGAAUGCAGCGCAAAAUGGGUGGUAAAUUCCAUCUAAAGCUAAAUAUUGGCGAGAGACCGAUAGCGAACAAGUACCGUGAGGGAAAGAUGAAAAGCACUUUGAAAAGAGAGUUAAACAGUACGUGAAAUUGUUGAAAGGGAAACGCUUGAAGUCAGUCGCGUUCCGUGGAACUCAGCCUUACUUCGGUUUGGUGUACUUUCCAUGUGAACGGGUCAACGUCAAUUUUGGCCGGUGGACAAAGGCGAGGGGAAUGUAGCGUCGCUUCGGUGACGUGUUAUAGCCCCUUGUUGUAUACACCGGCUGAGAUUGAGGACCGCAGCACGCCCCUUUGUGGCCCGGGGGGGUUCGCGCCCCUACGUACCGUGCUUAGGAUGUUGGCAUAAUGGCUUUAAGCGACCCGUCUUGAAACACGGACCAAGGAGUCUAACAUGCUUGCGAGUGUUCGGGUGGAAAACCCUUGCGCGUAAUGAAGGUGAAAGUUAGGAACCUCUUCCUUUGAGGGGGUGCACUGACGCCCGGUCCUGAAGUUCUCUGACGGUGCUGCGGUAGAGCAAGUAUGUUGGGACCCGAAAGAUGGUGAACUAUGCCUGAAUAGGGUGAAGCCAGAGGAAACUCUGGUGGAGGCUCGUAGCGAUUCUGACGUGCAAAUCGAUCGUCAAA
rnacentral:rRNA from 1 species